rnacentral:rRNA from 1 species
UCUUCCAGGAACUCUCUUUAUCAUUUGGUUUCAACAUUUAUUGGUAUUCUUCUAACCUUUUCCCCAAUGCAUUUCCUAGGAUUUA